AACGAACGCUGGCGGCAUGCCUAACACAUGCAAGUCGAACGAGACCUUCGGGGCUAGUGGCGCAAGGGUGCGUAACGCGUGGGAACCUGCCCUUAGGUUCGGAAUAACUCCCCGAAAGGGGUGCUAAUACCGGAUAAUGUCUUCGGACCAAAGAUUUAUCGCCUUUGGAUGGGCCCGCGUUGGAUUAGCUAGUUGGUAGGGUAAAAGCCUACCAAGGCGACGAUCCAUAGCUGGUCUGAGAGGAUGAUCAGCCACACUGGGACUGAGACACGGCCCAGACUCCUACGGGAGGCAGCAGUGGGGAAUAUUGGACAAUGGGCGAAAGCCUGAUCCAGCAAUGCCGCGUGAGUGAUGAAGGCCUUAGGGUUGUAAAGCUCUUUUACCCGGGAUGAUAAUGACAGUACCGGGAGAAUAAGCUCCGGCUAACUCCGUG
rnacentral:rRNA from 1 species